rnacentral:rRNA from 1 species
UAAGCAAGAUAUGAAAGCGUACGGCUCAACCGUAUAUCCGUAUUUUGAACUGAUUAACUAGAGGGCGAGAGAGGUUAUUGGAAUUUCUUGUGUAGGAGUGAAAUCCGUAGAUAUAAGAAGGAACACCGAUGGCGUAGGCAGAUAACUGGCUCGCACCUGACACUGAGGCACGAAAGCGUGGGGAGCAAACGGGAUUAGAUACCCCGGUAGUCCACGCCGUAAACUAUGGAUGCUA